rnacentral:rRNA from 1 species
GGUCAAGUGAAGAAGCGCAUACGGUGGAUGCCUUGGCAGUCAGAGGCGAUGAAAGACGUGGUAGCCUGCGAAAAGCUUCGGGGAGUCGGCAAACAGACUUUGAUCCGGAGAUCUCUGAAUGGGGGAACCCACCUAGGAUAACCUAGGUAUCUUGUACUGAAUCCAUAGGUGCAAGAGGCGAACCAGGGGAACUGAAACAUCUAAGUACCCUGAGGAAAAGAAAUCAACCGAGAUUCCCUUAGUAGUGGCGAGCGAACGGGGAUUAGCCCUUAAGCUUCAUUGAUUUUAGCGGAACGCUCUGGAAAGUGCGGCCAUAGUGGGUGAUAGCCCCGUACGCGAAAGGAUCUUUGAAGUGAAAUCGAGUAGGACGGAGCACGAGAAACUUUGUCUGAACAUGGGGGGACCAUCCUCCAAGGCUAAAUACUACUGACUGACCGAUAGUGAACCAGUACCGUGAGGGAAAGGCGAAAAGAACCCCGGAGAGGGGAGUGAAAUAGAACCUGAAACCGUAUGCGUACAAGCAGUGGGAGCCUACUUGUUAGGUGACUGCGUACCUUUUGUAUAAUGGGUCAGCGACUUAUAUUCAGUGGCAAGCUUAACCGUAUAGGGUAGGCGUAGCGAAAGCGAGUCUUAAUAGGGCGUUUAGUCGCUGGGUAUAGACCCGAAACCGGGCGAUCUAUCCAUGAGCAGGUUGAAGGUUAGGUAACACUGACUGGAGGACCGAACCCACUCCCGUUGAAAAGGUAGGGGAUGACUUGUGGAUCGGAGUGAAAGGCUAAUCAAGCUCGGAGAUAGCUGGUUCUCCUCGAAAGCUAUUUAGGUAGCGCCUCAUGUAUCACUCUGGGGGGUAGAGCACUGUUUCGGCUAGGGGGUCAUCCCGACUUACCAAACCGAUGCAAACUCCGAAUACCCAGAAGUGCCGAGCAUGGGAGACACACGGCGGGUGCUAACGUCCGUCGUGAAAAGGGAAACAACCCAGACCGCCAGCUAAGGUCCCAAAGUUGUGGUUAAGUGGUAAACGAUGUGGGAAGGCUUAGACAGCUAGGAGGUUGGCUUAGAAGCAGCCAUCCUUUAAAGAAAGCGUAAUAGCUCACUAGUCGAGUCGGCCUGCGCGGAAGAUGUAACGGGGCUCAAACCACACACCGAAGCUGCGGGUGUCACGUAAGUGACGCGGUAGAGGAGCGUUCUGUAAGCCUGUGAAGGUGAGUUGAGAAGCUUGCUGGAGGUAUCAGAAGUGCGAAUGCUGACAUGAGUAACGACAAUGGGUGUGAAAAACACCCACGCCGAAAGACCAAGGGUUCCUGCGCAACGUUAAUCGACGCAGGGUUAGUCGGUUCCUAAGGCGAGGCUGAAAAGCGUAGUCGAUGGGAAACAGGUUAAUAUUCCUGUACUUCUGGUUACUGCGAUGGAGGGACGGAGAAGGCUAGGCCAGCUUGGCGUUGGUUGUCCAAGUUUAAGGUGGUAGGCUGAAAUCUUAGGUAAAUCCGGGGUUUCAAGGCCGAGAGCUGAUGACGAGUCGUCUUUUAGAUGACGAAGUGGUUGAUGCCAUGCUUCCAAGAAAAGCUUCUAAGCUUCAGGUAACCAGGAACCGUACCCCAAACCGACACAGGUGGUCGGGUAGAGAAUACCAAGGCGCUUGAGAGAACUCGGGUGAAGGAACUAGGCAAAAUGGCACCGUAACUUCGGGAGAAGGUGCGCCGGCUAGGGUGAAGGAUUUACUCCGUAAGCUCUGGCUGGUCGAAGAUACCAGGCCGCUGCGACUGUUUAUUAAAAACACAGCACUCUGCAAACACGAAAGUGGACGUAUAGGGUGUGACGCCUGCCCGGUGCCGGAAGGUUAAUUGAUGGGGUUAGCGCAAGCGAAGCUCUUGAUCGAAGCCCCGGUAAACGGCGGCCGUAACUAUAACGGUCCUAAGGUAGCGAAAUUCCUUGUCGGGUAAGUUCCGACCUGCACGAAUGGCGUAACGAUGGCGGCGCUGUCUCCACCCGAGACUCAGUGAAAUUGAAAUCGCUGUGAAGAUGCAGUGUAUCCGCGGCUAGACGGAAAGACCCCGUGAACCUUUACUGUAGCUUUGCACUGGACUUUGAGCCUGCUUGUGUAGGAUAGGUGGGAGGCUUUGAAGCGUGGACGCCAGUUCGCGUGGAGCCAUCCUUGAAAUACCACCCUGGCAUGCUUGAGGUUCUAACUCUGGUCCGUGAUCCGGAU